UUAAGAAGAAGUUCGAUUAAGUUCGCUGCAUCGUGCAGCAACAUCGAACCAACCCACAUCCUGUGGG
rfam:Pontibacillus yanchengensis Y32 contig46, whole genome shotgun sequence.